UGGAGCAGGAGGGCGACGCCGAGCUCGGCUGGGGCCUCCUCGGAGACGCCUACGACCGCUGCGGCGAGGUCUGCGCCGAGUACGCCAAGACCUUCUACCUCGAUAAUUUAUUCAAUCUGAAGCCAAAUACUCAUGCAUAUACCAGUGACCCCCUACAGUUUGGAAAUUAUGGGAAGUCCAUUUCUCCGACUGAUCUAGCUACUACGGCGGCCA